rnacentral:rRNA from 1 species
UUAAUUAAAUAGCCGCAGUAAAUUAACUGUGCUAAGGUAGCAUAAUAAUUAGUUUUUUAAUUAAAAACUAGAAUGAAAGAGAAAAUGAAAAAUUAACUUUUUAAUUAUAAUAAAUAAAUAUAAAUUAAUUUAUAAGUUAAAAAUCUUAUAUAAAAUAAAAAGACAAGAAGACCCUUUAGAAUUUUAUAAAUAAAAAAAUUUAAUAAUUAUAAAUUUGAAUAUUUAUUAAGUUGGGGAGACUAUGAAAUAUUAAAAACUUUCACUUUUUUAAAACAAAAAUAAAUGAAUCUAUAAAUAUCCAGUUAACAGCCGAAUAAAAAACAAAUUACCUAAGGGAUAACAGCGUAAAAUUUCUAAAAAGAUCAAAUUUACAGAAUAAAUUACGACCUCGAUGUUGGAUUAAGAAAAAAUUAUAAAGAAGAAUUUAUAAAAAUUAGGUCUGUUCGACCUUUAAUCUCUU